AGUUCGAUUAUGGCUUCAAGAUGAACAUUUGUAUGGGAUGGCACACACAUGCAAGUCGAACGGCAGCACGGACUUCGGUCUGGUGGCGAGUGGCGAACGGUGAUGAUGGAACACUGAAGUAGCGGGGAUAACUGCGAAAGCAUCGUAUAAUAUACCAUACGCCCUUCGAAGCGAAGGACGCCGGGCCUCACACUGUCGAAAUGACGAAUAUCCGGAUUAGCUAGUUGGUGGGGUGUUGGCUCACUACAAAGGCGACGAUCCGUAGCUGGUUUUGAAGAGACUGACCAACCACACUGGGACUGAGACACGGCCCCGACUCCGGAGGCGGUGAAAUUUUGGACAAUGAAACCUGAUCCAGCCAUCCCGCGUGUGCGUCGAAGGCCUUCGGGUUUAAAGCACUUUGGCAGGAAAGAAACGGCACGGGAUAAUACCCCGUGCAACUGACAGUACCUGCAGAAUAAGCACCUAUUUAACUACGUGCCAGCAACCAUGAUGGCCAUGAUUGCAGCGUUAAUCGAUUACUGGGCGUAAAGCGUCGCAGGCAGUUCCGGAAAGAAGAUGUGAAAUCCCAGGCUUAACUUUAGAACACCAUUUUUAACUACCGAGCUAGAGUGUGUCGAAGGAGGUGGAAUUCCCGCGAUGGCAACAUUGAAAUACUGCGUGAAAUGUAGGAGAACACCGAUGGCGAAGGCAGCCUCCUGGGAUAACACUGACGCUCAUGCACGAAAAGCGUACUGAGAACAAACGGGAUUAGAUACUGGCGGUCGCCUAAACAAUCUGUCAACUAGCUGUUGAAGGCCGCCAGGCCUCCCAGUAGCUAAUAUGGAUAGCCGCCUGGGGAAGUACGGUCGCAAGAUUAAAACUCAAGGAAUUGGCAGGACCCGCACAAGCAGUGGAUGAUGGAUUAAUUCGAUGCAACGCGAAAAGCCUUACCUACCCUUGACAUGUCUGGAAUCCUGAAGAGAUUUGGGAGUGCUCACAAGAGAACCGGAACACAGGUGCUGCAUGGCGUAUGGCUCGUGCCGUGAGAUGUUGGGUUAAGUCCCUACGAGCGCAACCCUUGUCAUUAGUUGCUACGAAAGGGCACUCUAAUGAGACUGCCGGUGACAAACCGGAGGGAGAAUUGGGGAUGACGUCAAGUCCUCAUGGCCCUUAUGGGUAGGGCUUUGCGACCAUACAAUGGUCAAGAUUCAGAGGUCGCCAACCCGCGAGGGGAGCCAAUCCCAGAAACCCGAUCGUAGUCGGAUCGCAGUCUGCAACUCGACUUGCGUCGAAGUCGGAAUCGCCGUAAUCGCGGAUCAGCAUGUCGCGGUGGGUGCAUUGGUCUUGUACCUGCCGUCACCAUGCGGUGGGUUUUACCAGAAGUAGUUAGCCUAACCGUAGAGGCGAUUACCACGGUAGGAUUCAUGACUGGGGUGAAGUCAGCAACAAGGUAA
rnacentral:rRNA from 1 species